rnacentral:rRNA from 1 species
AUUGAACGCUGGCGGCAGGCCUAACACAUGCAAGUCGAACGGUAACAGGAAGAAGCUUGCUUCUUUGCUGACGAGUGGCGGACGGGUGAGUAAUGUCUGGGAAACUGCCUGAUGGAGGGGGAUAACUACUGGAAACGGUAGCUAAUACCGCAUAAUGUCGCAAGACCAAAGAGGGGGACCUUCGGGCCUCUUGCCAUCGGAUGUGCCCAGAUGGGAUUGGCUAGUAGGUGGGGUAACGGCUCACCUAGGCGACGAUCCCUAGCUGGUCUGAGAGGAUGACCAGCCACACUGGAACUGAGACACGGUCCAGACUCCUACGGGAGGCAGCAGUGGGGAAUAUUGCACAAUGGGCGCAAGCCUGAUGCAGCUAUGCCGCGUGUAUGAAGAAGGCCUUCGGGUUGUAAAGUACUUUCAGCGGGGAGGAAGGGAGUAAAGUUAAUACCUUUGCUCAUUGACGUUACCCGCAGAAGAAGCACCGGCUAACUCCGUG